GCCUUGGUGCAAUUCUAGUUCCUUGACGCAAUUCUAGUGGCUUGACGCAAUUAUCGUGCCUUGGCG
ensembl:ncRNA C31G12.5 ncRNA